GGAAUUUUGGACAAUGGGGGCAACCCUGAUCCAGCCAUUCCGCGUGAGUGAAGAAGGCCUUCGGGUUGUAAAGCUCUUUCAGCUGGAGUGAAACGGUACGCUCUAACAUAGCGUGCUAAUGACGGUACCAGCAGAAGAAGCACCGGCGAACUACGUGGCAGCAGCCGCGGUAAUACGUAGGGUGCGAGCGUUAAUCGGAAUUACUGGGCGUAAAGCGUGCGCAGGCGGAUUGUUAAGCAAGAUGUGAAAUCCCCGGGCUUAACCUGGGAAUUGCAUUUUGAACUGGCAGUCUAGAGUGCGUCAGAGGGGGGUGGAAUUCCACGUGUAGCAGUGAAAUGCGUAGAGAUGUGGAGGAACACCGAUGGCGAAGGCAGCCCCCUGGGAUGACACUGACGCUCAUGUACGAAAGCGUGGGUAGCAAA
rnacentral:rRNA from 1 species